AUGCUUGCUUCGGCAGCACAUACACUAAAAUUGGAAUGAUACAGAGAAGAUUAGCAUGGCCCCUGCGCAAGGAUGACACGCAAAUCCAUGAAGCGUUCCAUAUUUUU
ensembl:snRNA U6 U6 spliceosomal RNA